GUCGAGGAAGAAGACGUCUCUGAGCUACUUCAUGUAGAGGUGAUUGUAUCUUUGUAUAGAGUUUCUUGCCCUUUUCCUUUUCAUUUCUUUGAUUUCCAAAUACCCCACUGCUCGAAAAGAGUGGAAGAUUGGGGAUCGACGUGUGGAAAUCCAUCCUGACCCCUGGUUCGCCUACCCUACCCUACCCUACCCUACCCUCCAUUCCCUUUAUUGUAUCAUAUAUAGUUUUUCCUUACCCUCAUUUAUUUAAUUCUCUAUGCUUUUGUAGGAAUUUUACAAUUUCCUUAGGUAAUUUGACCAAAACCGUUGUCCCAUCUUUUUCUCUAGCUCUUCUAGUUAACAUGG
rnacentral:misc_RNA from 1 species